GAUUGCCUUCGCCAAGGAGCCCUGUCAGAAGCCUUGCAGGCGGUUAAGGGAACGCGGUCGAACACCGCGGCUGUGCCCGCAACUGUAGGCGGCGAGAGCGUCGUCCGAUCCGGGGUUCGCCCCGGCGCCACUGGGAAACCGGGAAGGCGUGGACCCCGCUCAGCGACCCGCAAGCCAGGAGACCUGGCCGCCGACGUCGUCCGUC
rfam:Caulobacterales bacterium RIFCSPHIGHO2_01_FTLL_70_19 rifcsphigho2_01_scaffold_993, whole genome shotgun sequence.